rnacentral:rRNA from 1 species
CCUACGGGGCGCAGCAGUGGGGAAUAUUGGACAAUGGGGGGAACCCUGAUCCAGCGACGCCGCGUGAGUGAAGAAGUAUUUCGGUAUGUAAAGCCCUAUCAGCAGGGAAGAAAAUGACGGUACCUGACUAAGAAGCCCCGGCUAACUACGUGCCAGCAGCCGCGGUAAUACAUAGGGAGCAAGCGUUAUCCGGAUUUAUUGGGUGUAAAGGGUGCGUAGACGGGAAAUUAAGUUAGUUGUGAAAUCCCUCGGCUUAACUGAGGAACUGCAACUAAAACUGAUUUUCUUGAGUACUGGAGAGGAAA